rnacentral:lncRNA from 1 species
UCCACUCACCACUGUGAACUGUCCAACAAAUUAACAGUUUAACAAUGUCCAAUGUCCAGCAGCAACAACUAACAAAACAAGCCCAAACACUUCUACAGUAUCACUUAUAAAAAAUUAAAGCAGCAACAACUAACUACAACAGUCAACUAAGUAACUACAGGCCUACAGCAGCAACCAGCAAGCAGCAAGGCAGCAACCAGCAGUCCAGCAACUAGCAUUAGCAUCACUGCAUCAGCGAGACAGCGAUUCAGCAUCAACAAGGUCUAUUGUAAACUGAAAUUGCAGUCAGAGACUCAGAAUUCAAAUUCACUUCAAAUACAUAAUACCCAAGCUCAUCAAAUGAUUAAAAGUUGACUAGUGUUACUAUGUGUGUGUGUGUGUGUGUGUGUGAAUGCAGUAACAAAGUUACCAACUUAUCAUGAUUAGAACCACUAUGAAGGCAUCAUGUAAAUUUUUAUAGUAACUUGAUUCAUUAGCAAUGUCAGUCACACAACUAUAGAAAUUCCCAUGGUAAAAAAAUAAUCGAGUAAGGAGAAAAUUAGACAUGAAAUCAGUUGACAGUGGAAUCAGUUGAUGAGCUUGGAAUCAAAAAAUUACCCAAAUUAAAUCAAAUCAUGAAAUCAAAUCAUAACCCAAAUUAAACUGUAAGGAUACACAGAGUAAAAAUUACUAAGAUAAUCGAAAAACCCUCUUCUUCUUUUGGGUAAAAAAGUGACCAUUCUGAAGAAAAACAAUUAAACCUAAAUUAGAUAAUAAACAAAUAAAAGAAACCCAAAUUGACAAGAACCAAAUUAAACCCAAAUUAGACAAGACACACAAAGAAGAAGCUAUCAGUAAAAUCAAUAAACUUAAUCCCCAACAAAACAACAUGCAGUCAGCCAGUCAUGCACACGAAUCUUGAUAGAGAUUAGAGAUUAGUGAAUGAAAUUUACCUGUCGGACUAGGGAGAGCAGGAGAGAGCCGGACUGCAAAAGGUCAGACGGCGCGACAAACAGUGAUAGCCGAGAGGCGGAGGCCGGCCGCCGGCGCAGAGAUUGAGUCGGACACUCGGGCAGUCGGACUAUCGGAGAGAGGCGGAGGCUGGAGAUCAGAUGAUGUAACGAGAAGCAAGAAGAGGCUGAGCCGCUGAGGAAUGGAUUUGAGAUCUCAGAUCUGGGACUGGGUGGGAGAGAUGACUGGUCGGCUACGGCUAGGGCAAAAAACGAUGUAACUCAAAUACUGAAUAAGUGAA